UGUAGCAGCAGUCGAAAUAGAUUCCUUCACAAAAAAAUUAUUUAUACUGAAGUUUGAGAAGAAGAAAGAUCCAUGCUUGAGAAGGGAGAAAUUUCUGGGCCAUUCUCUGGGCGAUCUCUAUCCGUUUGAGCAAGAGGAGAAAUUUCAGCAGCAAUGAACAGUGAGAAGUGAGAACCAGCUGACCAUCUUCCUCCUCUUUCUUCCUCCUCUACCAUUCUCAAGAAUGACGGCCAUGACCUGAGCCUAAUAAAGAGAGUCUCAUUCCUCAGUCUAAUCAUCAUAUCAUAUGUGGAUGCAGCAACAUAGAAGAGUUCUUGAUGCUUUAAGGAGUGGUUUCAAUUUCGGAAAUCUAGGCAUGCAUGAAAUUGGGAAGCAUGCAAGAGGCUUUAUCACUGACAUCUGGCAUUCCGAUUGUUGGUGUUCCAUUGAUUAUUGUUCUUGAGCCCACACAAGCAUAAUGCCAUGAUGUUUUUCAUGUAUUAAUUUGUAAUAGAGAAUUCGUAUUCAUUCUAAACUUAACAUGUAUUAAUUUGUGAUUUGAAUGGAAAUACAUCUUUUAUAUUG